rnacentral:misc_RNA from 1 species
GAUGAAGAACGCAGCGAAAUGCGAUAAGUAAUGUGAAUUGCAGAAUUCAGUGAAUCAUCGAAUCUUUGAACGCACAUUGCGCCCGCCAGUAUUCUGGCGGGCAUGCCUGUCUGAGCGUCAUUUCAACCCUCAUGCCCCUAGGGCGUGGUGUUGGGGAUCGGCCAAAGCCCGCGAGGGACGGCCGGCCCCUAAAUCUAGUGGCGGACCCGUCGUGGCCUCCUCUGCGAAGUAGUGAUAUUCCGCAUCGGAGAGCGACGAGCCCCUGCCGUUAAACCCCCAACUUUCCAAGGUUGACCUCGGAUCAGGUAGGAAUACCCGCUGAACUUAAGCAUAUCAAUAAGCGGAGGA